UCUAAGUGGAUUACAAUCUAUUUCCAAUGUAGCUGGGUCACCCUGCACUCCACAUAGUAUAGCCUUUCCUAGGAGAGACACAGGGGUCCUCCAGCACUCCACACAACAGAGCCUUUCCUAGGAGAAACACAGGGGUCCUCCAGCACUCCACACAACAGAGCCUUUCCUAGGAGAAACACAGGGGUCCUCCAGCAUUCCACACAACAGAGCCUUUCCUAGGAGAAACACAGGGGUCCUCCAGCACGUCACACAGUAGAGCCUUUCCUAGGAGAGACACAGGGGUCCUCCAGCACUCCACACAACAGAGCCUUUCCUAGGAGAAACACAGGGGUCCUCCAGCACUCCACACAACAGAGCCUUUCCUAGGAGAGACACAGGGGUCCUCCAGCACUCCACACAACAGAGCCUUUCCUAGGAGAAACACAGGGGUCCUCCAGCACGCCACACAGCAGAGCCUUUCCUAGGAGAGACACAGGGGUCCUCCAGCAAGCCACACAGUAGAGCCUUUCCUAGGAGAGACACAGGUUCUCCAGCACUCCACACAACAGAGCCUUUCCUAGGAGAAACACAGGGGUCCUCCAGCAUUCCACACAACAGAGCCUUUCCUAGGAGAAACACAGGGGUCCUCCAGCACUCCACACAACAGAGCCUUUCCUAGGAGAAACACAGGGGUCCUCCAGCACUCCACACAACAGAGCCUUUCCUAGGAGAAACACAGGGGUCCUCCAGCACUCCACACAACAGAGCCUUUCCUAGGAGAAACACAGGGGUCCUCCAGCACUCCACACAACAGAGCCUUUCCUAGGAGAGACAUAGGGGUCCUCCAGCACGUCACACAGUAGAGCCUUUCCUAGGAGAGACACAGGUUCUCCAGCACUCCACACAACAGAGCCUUUCCUAGGAGAGACACAGGGGUCCCCAGUCUGUUGUCUGGUCAGCAAGGUCUUGCAGUCUGUUUCUGACACCUUUCUAUAAAAUAAUUGCACCGUUCAGAUGAAAAAAUGUAUUUUAGGAGAGAAUGUGAGAGCUGCUUUUGGUCUAAUUGCAAUCUGGUGAAUCUGCAACUACUACCCCUGCAGAAGGAUACAUGAUUCAUACCGUAUAAUGGGACUUGGGUCACUGUUACAAGCACUUACAUUUGGAAUCAAAAUCUAAAAAAUGCAUGCUGGC